rnacentral:rRNA from 1 species
UACGUAGGGGGCAAGCGUUGUCCGGAAUUAUUGGGCGUAAAGAGCUUGUAGGCGGUCUGUCGCGUCUGCUGUGAAAAUCCGGGGCUCAACCCCGGACUUGCAGUGGGUACGGGCAGACUAGAGUGUGGUAGGGGAGACUGGAAUUCCUGGUGUAGCGGUGAGAUGCGCAGAUAUCAGGAGGAACACCGAUGGCGAAGGCAGGUCUCUGGGCCACUACUGACGCUGAGAAGCGAAAGCAUGGGGAGCGAACAGG